rnacentral:tRNA from 1 species
GGUGCGGGCCGGAGACGGUCGGUUACCACUUCUAAUGGAGAGGACGCGGGUUCGAAUCCCGCCGGUACCG